rnacentral:rRNA from 1 species
AUUGAACGCUGGCGGCAGGCCUAACACAUGCAAGUCGAGCGAGCGGAGGACGGGUGAGUAAUGUAGGGGGAUCUGCCCGAGAGAGGGGGAUAACUACUGGAAACGGUGGCUAAUAACGAAUAAUAUCGGAUGAACCCAUAGGGGAUUAGCUCGUAGGGGGGGUAAAGGUUCACCUAGGCGACGAUCUCUAGCUGGUCUGAGAGGAUGAUGAUCCACACUGGGACUGCGCCACGGCCCGGACUCCUACGGGAUGCAGCAGUGGGGAAUAUUGCCCAAUGGGCGCAAGCCUGAUGCAGCCAUGCCGCGUGUAUGAAGAAGGCCUUAGGGUUGUAAAUUACUUUCAGCGGGGAGGCGUUACCCGCAGAAGAAGCACCGGCUAACUCCGUGCCAGCAGCCGCGGUAAUAC